AAAGAAAGAGGGAGGAAGGAAGAAAAUAGGAAAGUUGAACGAGACUUUAGGGUCUAGUGGUGUAUGGGUGAGUAACGCGUGGGAAAAUGUACUUAGGUUGGGAAUAACUCACAGAAAGGGGUGCUAAUAAUGGAUAAUGUCUUCGGACCAAAGAUUUAUCGCCUUUGGAUGGGCCCGCGUUGGAUUAGCUAGUUGGUAGGGUAAAAGCCUACCAAGGCGACGCUCCAUAGCUGGUCUGAGAGGAUGAUCAGCCACACUGGGACUGAGACACGGCCCAGACUCCUACGGGAGGCAGCAGUGGGGAAUAUUGGACAAUGGGCGAAAGCCUGAUCCAGCAAUGCCUCAUGCUUUCUUCCAUCCUUAGUGUUGUAAAGCUCUUUUACCCAGGAUGAUAAUGACAGUACCGGGAGAAUAAGCUCCAACUCACUCCGUC
rnacentral:rRNA from 1 species